UCCGGCUUAUCACCGGCAGUUUCUUUAGAGUGCUCAACUAAAUGGUAGCAACUAAAGACGAGGGUUGCGCUCGUUGCGGGACUUAACCCAACAUCUCACGACACGAGCUGACGACAGCCAUGCAGCACCUGUGUUCUAGCCAGCCUAACUGAAGGAAUCCAUCUCUGGAAACCAUACUAGACAUGUCAAACGCUGGUAAGGUUCUGCGCGUUGCGUCGAAUUAAACCACAUGCUCCACCGCUUGUUCGGGCCCCCGUCAAUUCCUUUGAGUUUUAGCCUUGCGGCCGUACUUCCCAGGCGGAGAACUUAAUGCGUUAGCUACGGCACCGCGAGGGUCAACACCCACGACACCUAGUUCUCAUCGUUUACGGCGUGGACUAC
rnacentral:misc_RNA from 1 species